GUACUUUAAUUAUAUCAGCUGGAGAGAUUACUUCCUUAACUUUGUUCCUGUUUACAAAAUGUACUUCAUCUUUAAGGUUGUGAAACUCAACAGCUGGCAGGACUUGUUUUACAGUAAUGCGAUGACUAACACCAAUCUCGUCUUCAAAUUCACACUCAGAAUUGCUGUAGCCAAUGAUGCUCCAUCCUAGUAUAGAUUUCUGUCCAAAUGGCUGAUUUCUUUCUCUGGUCACAACUUCAAUGGGCAAUAAAGCCUGUGGGCAGUUGUAGCCAAUUAGUAAGCCGACUUCACACUCGAGUUCUGGAGCCAUCUCAUUUGCUAGAUGUCUGAGGUGGUGAGCUAAUGGGAAUGGGGACCAACGUCUUCUUUUCGGGCUGUGCCCGGCCGGGCCCCAUGGGCAAAGGCCCGGCCACCAGACGCUCACCUUCAAGCCCCAGCUCCAGGCCUGCCUCCAGAGGGGUGCCCCAGUGACCCGCGUCCGGGCGAGGGAAAAUGAAGUCCAUUUAUUUUUCUCACCAUAAGGGGGUUUUGUGAGCCGUGCUUUGUCCGGCCCCUCACCUAUGACCCUUUUGCCAUGGGUUACCCUACCAGGGGCAUGAAGCUCCAAACAACAUGGCUCCUAGCAGUGACGUGCGGUGAGGUUCAUGACUGGGGAGGCACUGAGACGGCACACACGCCAGAGUACACCAGCUGGGGAGGUGGUUAGGUGACACCCAAACUGACAAUGGCUGUCUGGUUUUCUCGCAGACCAAUCAGGAUGAGGGAACUGCAGCGGAUUACCCCCCUCGAAGACACCGCCAGGACAAUCGAGGGCACCUCCUGCAGCUCUUCACUUUGAAUUGGACAUCCACUUUUUCUUUGGAUUGUUUUAUAUUAUGUGUUCUAUGUGCCCUCUCUGCAUCCAUUGCAGCCUGGUCAUCCUGGAAGGGGGAUCCUCCCAUCUGUCAUUUUUCCUCCAGUAGGAGUUUUUUUUUUGUUUUUCCUUGCCCUCCUGUGAGUUUAAGAUAAGGGGAUGUUCGAGAAUAAUUCUUAUUUUUUUGUAUAUGUGAAGCCCUUUGAGACUUUCCUGUAAUUUAGGGCUAUAUAAAUAAACUUGACUUGACUACUAAUGGGCGGAUCAAACCUGUGGUUUUGAUACAUUGAUACUCUUUUUAGUAGGGAUGGGCGAUACCAAUGAUUUUGGAAUUGAUCCGAUACCAAGUAUUUCCUACCCAAAAUACCCGAUAUUCGAUCCGAUAUCGAUACCGGAAGUGUAAUUUCCCGCCAAAAAAACAAUUUAAAUGCAGUGGCAUUCUUGCUCUUGGAGAGUCAUCUAUUGAAUUUUGUAGAAAAAAGUAUUACGUCAUGUACAUGAAUUAUUAACCUUUUUAGACAUUAGUGCAUUAGUGGAAGAUGCAUAUUAAUAGUAUAACUUUAAUAAAAAGGAGCUAU